UACGUAGGCAGCGAGCGUUGUUCGGAGUUACUGGGCGUAAAGGGUGUGUAGGCGGUUGUUUUAAGUUUGGUGUGAAAUCUCCCGGCUCAACUGGGAGGGUGCGCCGAAUACUGAAUGACUUGGAGUGCGGGAGAGGAAAGUGGAAUUCCUGGUGUAGCGGUGAAAUGCGUAGAUAUCAGGAGGAACACCGGUGGUGUAGACGGCUUUCUGGACCGUAACUGACGCUGAGACACGAAAGCGUGGGUAGCAAACAGG
rnacentral:rRNA from 1 species